GCCCUGGGGUAGCGGAGGCGGCCGGGAGCGCUGGGGCUCCGGCGGCAAUUUAAAGGGCCUGGGGAUUUAAAGGCCCCGCCCCUUCUGCCCAAGGCCCCCCCCCCACACACCUUGCUUAGGACCCCGGCCCUGCAUACCGGAACAUACCUACAACGUUAACCGAGGAGUUAAUGUACAAGGUUUAGGAGACUCCGAUGAGACCUGCAAAUCAGCUCUACCAUCGCGUUUGCAUUCCUAAGCAGUGAAUCCCUGCCACCAGGUAUUCAGUGGCCAACGUGAACUGAGAUGUGGCUCCGUAUAGUGCCUUGUAGAGAGGCGUCUAGCUCUCAAAACUCACCAUCAUGCUUGUCAUCCUUGCUGGCAGUCUCAGUAGAGAGGUCAAGGACUCUACUGGAAGAGACUGAAUGAU